rnacentral:rRNA from 1 species
GAUGAACGCUAGCGGCAAGCUUAAUACAUGCAAGUCGAGGGGCAGCAUGACUGUAGCAAUACAGUUGAUGGCGACCGGCAAACGGGUGCGGAACACGUACAGAACCUUCCUUCGAGCGGGGAAUAGCCCAGAGAAAUUUGGAUUAAUACCCCAUAGUAUAUCAGAGUGGCAUCACUUUUAUAUUAAAGAUUUAUCACUUGAAGAUGGCUGUGCGGCUGAUUAGAUAGUUGGUGAGGUAACGGCUCACCAAGUCUGCGAUCAGUAACUGGUGUGGGAGCACGACCAGGCAAACGGGCACUGAGACACGGGCCCGACUCCUACGGGAGGCAGCAGUAAGGAAUAUUGGUCAAUGGACGAAAGUCUGAACCAGCUAUGCCGCGUGGAGGAUGAAGGCCCUCUGGGUUGUAAACUUCUUUUAUAUGGGACGAAAAAGGGCCUUUCUAGGUCAACUGACGGUACCAUGUGAAUAAGCACCGGCUAACUCCGUGCCAGCCGCCGCGGUAAAAC